CACGUCAGCGCGCUAGGCUGACGUGGCAACAAAGCGCGGCCUUGAAAGCGCGAUUUGUUGCCACGUCAGCAUAGCGCCCUGACGUGA
rfam:Gossypium hirsutum cultivar TM-1 unplaced genomic scaffold scaffold2838.1, whole genome shotgun sequence